CUGCUUCUCUGCCCUCCUGCUCCUUCCUCAGCCUCCUCCCCCUCGGCGCGCCCUCUGCCCCAACCCGAACUUCCCGUCACCCGGCACGCGGGCGUGGGGACCCGGAGUGGGCCCUGUGCCCGUUGUCUUCCCUAGGGAGAAAGGGCUGCUUUCUGCAGGACUCUUCCCUGGCUUGGUGAGGGGAGGCCCCGGUGCGCAGGUCCUGCGGAUGGGUGCCACCCACUUGCCCCUCAGAAGGUCCCACCUAAUGGCCUCUGCCUGCUGCCUUGGGCAUAGGGCUCCCAUUCGCCCUCAGUGGAUGAGGGACAGGUCUGUGCCCCAGAAUUAAAUCAAGAGGCUGACGCUGACUCCUGGCUUUACCUCCCAGAAGUGGAGUCUAAAUUUAGCUGGGGUUGGUGUGUGUACGUGUGUGCGUGUGUGUGUGCGUGUGUGUGUGUGUGUGUGUGUCCA
rnacentral:lncRNA from 1 species